rnacentral:misc_RNA from 1 species
UCCGAUUUGAAUAUCGGCAGUUCAUUCCGAGUCCCCGGCAUUAUCCGCUGGUAACAGAACGUGAGGGUUGCGCUCGUUGCGGGACUUAACCCAACAUUUCACAACACGAGCUGACGACAGCCAUGCACCACCUGUGCUUCACCCUCGAAGGCGACUCCGUUUCGGGAGCUUGCAGAAGCAUGUCAAGCCUGGGUAAGGUUCUUCGCGUUGCAUCGAAUUAAGCCACAUGCUCCACCGCUUGUGCGGGCCCCCGCCAAUUCCUUUGAGUUUCAACCUUGCGGCCGUAGUCCCCAGGUGGAUCACUUAAUGCGUUAGCUGCGGCACCGAGGAAGACCCCGACACCUAGUGAUCAUCGUUUAUGGCCAAGACUAC